UAACGUUCGGAUAAUCGCUGCUUGAUCGCAGAGGAAAGUCCAUGCUCGCACAGUGCUGAGAUGCCUGUAGUGAUCGUGCUUGGUGAAACAAUAAGCCAAGGCAGAGCCACCAAACUCUGACGGCAGGUAAACCAUCUAAGUCGUAAGAUAUGAUGUAGUAGCCUUGAAAGUGCCACAGUGACGAAGUUCUGAUAGAAAUGUCAGAAGUGGAACGCGGUAAACCCCACGAGCGAGAAACUCAAACUAUGGUAGGGGCACUUUUCCCGAGGAAAUUGAACAAGGGAAGAGGUGCGAAUUAAUUCGCGCAGAUAGAUGAUUAUCGAUUUACUGUUAUCCUGUACGCAGUAAUGAACAGAACAUGGCUUAUAGAACGU
rnacentral:RNase_P_RNA from 1 species